rnacentral:rRNA from 1 species
UGGGGAAUAUUGGACAAUGGGCGAAAGCCUGAUCCAGCAAUACCGCGUGUGUGAAGAAGGCCUGAGGGUUGUAAAGCACUUUCAAUAGGAAGGAAUACCUAUCGGUUAAUACCCGGUAGACUGACAUUACCUAUACAAGAAGCACCGGCUAACUCCGUGCCAGCAGCCGCGGUAAUACGGAGGGUGCAAGCGUUAAUCGGAAUUACUGGGCGUAAAGCGUGCGUAGGCGGUUGUUUAAGUCAGAUGUGAAAGCCCUGGGCUUAACCUGGGAACUGCAUUUGAUACUGGGCAACUAGAGUUGAGUAGAGGGGAGUGGAAUUUCAGGUGUAGCGGUGAAAUGCGUAGAGAUCUGAAGGAACACCAGUGGCGAAGGCGGCUCCCUGGACUCAAACUGACGCUGAGGUACGAAAGCGUGGGUAGCAAACA